CCUUGAUUCUCACGUAACUAACAGCUCCUGAGUAAACUGUUGCUGGAAGGAACUGGUGUGCUAGUCUUUCUUCCCUGCUGGCCAGGGUGAUCGGCGUGGCACAACUGGUGGCCCAGACAGGGAGUUUCCUGCUAGAUUUCCCCGAGUUCCAGAACCGGUAGCAGACAGGGAGAUUGAGAUCGGAAAGUGGCCGAGACAAAGGUGAUUGCUGACAUGAAAUUGAGAGCUGAUGAAGCAGUAUGAAGCUUAAAAUUUUUGGAAAUUUUUCAAACUACUUCCUGAAGGAAAGUCUAAAUCCAACAGGCAACUCAAACACGCUGACCACAGUGUCAACACUGGCUGCACUACUGGAAAGAUUACAUUGGCAGUGCCCUCACAAGGAUGCAAGAUUUCAGCAAGAAAAGAUCAUUGAUGCAAUAAUGUCCUGCCCCUCAGUUGACCAAGGGGCGGGGGCGGGGGGAGGAAUGCUGUUCAUUUUCUACUGCUGUUUUUCUUAGUACAAUAAACAUAGUAGUUUAACCAA